AUGAGUGGCUUUGUAUGCCCAAAAUGUAAGAUUGAAUCUCAAAUCUUUCUGCCAACAACUGGAGGAACAGAGAAGAUGGGCCAAAAUUUAAAUAUUUCUCUCCUUGAGGGAAAAGUUGUGAUAAAGGCCAAUCCUUUUUGUCUGAAAUACCUGAGUCCCCAGCUACUUCAUCUUGCAGGAAUAUCAUCCAAAGUAAGUAUGUCAUGUUAAAAGACUGAUCUGUGAAUUACUUGUCUGAGCAAUUAAUUUCUAAAAUGU
rnacentral:lncRNA from 1 species